CCCCACCUCUUCUCUGAGCAAUGGGUAACAGGACAGGCAAACAGCCCUCCUGCUCCUCUGGCACAGUGUUGAGAAAAAGGCAAGAAGACCAGCCAAAGAUGGUCCCUUCCUCCUGUGCAGCCAUCACCGGGUGACAGGUGAGCAGAAUCCUCUGCCAUGAGCUCCCCACCAUGAUGUGCUAUCUCACUAUGCGACCAUGGACUGACAUCUCUAAAACUACAAGGCAAAGCAGCCAAGCUGCAGGCUGCUGGCUGUGAGGCGCAGACUGUCUGAACACAAGCUUUUUUCUCUGGACUGAAAGCCCAUGAGCGGGAGAGGCAGGAGAGACCGAUGCCCUGGAGAAGCAACUUCAGCCACUGUCGCACCUUCACAAGGCCUGCAGCUCAGCCCUGCCCAGGGAAUGCAACGGAACUUUGGCUGAGAUGCUAAAAAUAAGACAAAGUACAACUUGUUCAGAUGCUGCCAUAUUAAAAUGAGCUUGUUUUUGCUGUGCUGGGGAUCAAACCCAGAGCCUCACAGAUAAUAGACAGAGUCUCUCUAUGUAGUUCAGGCUGGCCUCGAACUUGCAGCAAUCCUUCUGCCUCAUUCUCUUGAAUGCUGGGAUUACAAGUAUGUCCAGCUUAUGUUUUGAGACAAAGCAGCCCAGACUGGGAUCGAACAAACAAUACUCCUGCUUCAGCCUUCCAACUGCUGGGAUUACAAGAAAGAGUAUUGGAAUCUGGAAAGCCCAGCAGCCUAACGCUCUUCUGAGAGACACUCUGGGGAUAGGACUCAGGAAGGCUCUGAGACUCGGCACUGAGCAGAAGGUUUGUCAUCUGAUUAAAAUGAAUUCAACAAGGUAAACCAAAUAAUCCAGUUGCUAGAACAUAUUUGGCAUAUUUGCUUCUAAUGAAACACUCAUGCGAACCACUUGGGUCAAGCUGGGGCUUCACUAACCCUAGACGAAUAGGCUGUGUGACUGUUUUUGUGGCUUGUUAAUCAAUGUUUGCAGACACAGCAGAGUUUAGCCUGAGAGCUGGUGUCCCUGUAGUGGUUACAGCCUUGGUAGGGAUGCAGGGCAGACGAGGCCCAUGAUUUCCCACCUCCUAUCACUGCAUGGAUGGUCAGGUGGAAAAGAUUGUUUGGAAGGGUUCCCAAGCAGCGUGGCCCUCCAGGCCUCUCUUCACACCCAUUUUUUAAUUUUUAAUUUUUACUUUUU